rnacentral:rRNA from 1 species
CCAGACUCCUACGGGAGGCAGCAGUGGGGAAUAUUGCACAAUGGGGGGAACCCUGAUGCAGCGACGCCGCGUGAGGGAAGAAGGUUUUCGGAUUGUAAACCUCUGUCCUCUGUGACGAUAAUGACGGUAGCAGAGGAGGAAGCCACGGCUAACUACGUGCCAGCAGCCGCGGUAAUACGGAGGGUGCAAGCGUUGUCCGGAAUCAUUGGGCGUAAAGAGUUCGUAGGCGGUAUGUUAAGUCUGGUGUUAAAUGCAGAAGCUCAACUUCUGUUCGGCACUGGAUACUGGCAAACUAGAAUGCGGUAGAGGUAAAGGGAAUUCCUGGUGUAGCGGUGAAAUGCUUAGAUAUCAGGAGGAACAUCGGUGGCGUAAGCGCUUUACUGGGCCGUAAUUGACGCUGAGGAACGAAAGCCAGGGUAGCAAAUGGGAUUAGAUACCCUUGUAC